rnacentral:tRNA from 1 species
GAGCCCGUGGCUCAAUGGUAGAGCGUUGGACUCAAAUACCAAAGGUCGCGGUUUCG